rnacentral:rRNA from 2 species
GUCUUUUUGGUAAUAAUUUAAAGUCUAGCCUGCCCACUGAUUAAUUAAAUGGCUGCGGUAUUUUGACCGUACAAAGGUAGCAUAAUCAAUAGUUUCUUAAUUAGAAGCUUGUAUGAAUGGUUGGAUAAGAAAAUAGCUGUCUCAAUUUAAAAAAUAGAAUUUUAUUUUUAAGUUAAAAAGCUUAAAUAAAUUUAAAAGACGAGAAGACCCUAUAGAGUUUAAUAAUUAAUUUAAUUUUAAAUUUUUAGUAUUUAAUAUUUUUAUUUAAUUUAAUUAUUUAAUUGGGGUGAUUGAAAAAUUAGAGGAACUUUUUUUUAUUUUUUACAUUAAUUUAUGAGUAAAUGAUCCAUAUUUUAUGAUUAUAAGAUUAAAUUACCUUAGGGAUAACAGCGUAAUUUUUUCUUAGAGUUCUUAUUGAAGAAAAAGAUUGCGACCUCGAUGUUGGAUUAAAGGAAAUUUAUGGUGGAGAAGCUAUAAAAUUAAGUCUGUUCGACUUUUAAAACUUUACA